rnacentral:rRNA from 1 species
UACAGAGGUCUCAAGCGUUGUUCGGAUUCAUUGGGCGUAAAGGGCGCGUAGGCGGUCAGCACAAGUCAGUUGUGAAAUCUCCGGGCUUAACUCGGAAAGGUCAACUGAUACUGUGCGACUAGAGUGCAGAAGGGGCAACUGGAAUUCUCGGUGUAGCGGUGAAAUGCGUAGAUAUCUGGAGGAACACCGGUGGCGAAGGCGGCGACCUGGUCCUUGACUGACGCUGAGGCGCGAAAGCGUGGGGAGCAAACAGG